rnacentral:rRNA from 1 species
UACGUAGGGGGCAAGCGUUAUCCGGAUUUACUGGGUGUAAAGGGAGCGUAGACGGCAGUACAAGUCUGGAGUGAAAGGCGGGGGCUCAACCCCCGGACUGCUCUGGAAACUGUACGGCUGGAGUGCAGGAGAGGUAAGUGGAAUUCCUAGUGUAGCGGUGAAAUGCGUAGAUAUUAGGAGGAACACCAGUGGCGAAGGCGGCUUACUGGACUGUAACUGACGUUGAGGCUCGAAAGCGUGGGGAGCAAACAGG